rnacentral:rRNA from 1 species
UAGCUAGUUGGUGGGGUAAGGGCUUACCAAGGCGACGAUCGGUAGCUGGUCUGAGAGGAUGACCAGCCACACUGGAACUGAGACACGGUCCAGACUCCUACGGGAGGCAGCAGUGGGGAAUAUUGGACAAUGGGGGCAACCCUGAUCCAGCAAUGCCGCGUGUGUGAAGAAGGCCUGAGGGUUGUAAAGCACUUUCAGUGGGGAGGAGGGUUGAUAGGUUAAGAGCUGAUUAACUGGACGUUACCCACAGAAGAAGCACCGGCUAACUCCGUGCCAGCAGCCGCGGUAAUACGGAGGGUGCGAGCGUUAAUCGGAAUUACUGGGCGUAAAGGGUGCGUAGGUGGUUGAUUAAGUUAUCUGUGAAAUUCCUGGGCUUAACCUGGGACGGUCAGAUAAUACUGGUUGACUCGAGUAUGGGAGAGGGUAGUGGAAUUUCCGGUGUAGCGGUGAAAUGCGUAGAGAUCGGAAGGAACACCAGUGGCGAAGGCGGCUACCUGGCCUAAUACUGACACUGAGGCACGAAAGCGUGGGGGGCAAACAGGAUUAGAUACCCUGGUAGUCCACGCUGUAAACGGUGUCAACUAGCUGUUGGUUAUAUGAAAAUAAUUAGUGGCGC